AGAGUUUGAUCCUGGCUCAGGAUGAACGCUAGCGGCAGGCCUAACACAUGCAAGUAGAACGGUAACAGAGAGAGCUUGCUCUCUGCUGACGAGUUGCGAACGGGUGCGUAACGCGUAUGCAACCUACCCAUAACAGGGGGAUAGCCCAUAGAAAUGUGGAUUAAUACCCCAUAAUAUCAUAGAUUGGCAUCAUGAAAUGAUUAAAACUCCGGUGGUUAUGGAUGGGCAUGCGUGACAUUAGCUAGUUGGUGAGGUAACUGCUCACCAAGGCGACGAUGUCUAGGGGUUCUGAGAGGAUGAUCCCCCACACUGGUACUGAGANACGGACCAGACUNCUACGGGAGGCAGCAGUAGGGAAUAUUGGUCAAUGGGCGAGAGCCUGAACCAGCCAUGCCGCGUGCAGGAAGACGGCCUUCUGGGUUGUAAACUGCUUUUAUAUGGGAAGAAAACGGCCUUGCGAGGCAAAUUGACGGUACCAUAUGAAUAAGCACCGGCUAACUCCGUGCCAGCAGCCGCGGUAAUACGGAGGGUGCAAGCGUUGUCCGGAUUUAUUGGGUUUAAAGGGUACGUAGGCGGCCAAUUAAGUCAGUGGUGAAAGCCAGCAGCUCAACUGUUGAACUGCCAUUGAUACUGAUUGGCUCGAGUUCUGUUAAGGUAGGCGGAAUUGAUGGUGUAGCGGUGAAAUGCAUAGAUACCAUCAGGAACACCGAUUGCGAAGGCAGCUUACUAGGCAGAAACUGACGCUAAUGUACGAAAGCGUGGGGAUCGAACAGGAUUAGAUACCCUGGUAGUCCACGCCGUAAACGAUGCUCACUC
rnacentral:rRNA from 1 species